UUGGCUCUCGCAUCGAUGAAGAACGUAGCAAAAUGCGAUACCUGGUGUGAAUUGCAGAAUCCCGCGAACCAUCGAGUUUUUGAACGCAAGUUGCGCCCGAGGCCUUCUGGCUGAGGGCACGCCUGCCUGGGCGUCACGCCACAAGACACUCUCANACCCAUCC
rnacentral:rRNA from 1 species